rnacentral:rRNA from 1 species
CGCGUAGGCGGUUUCUUAAGUGAGAUGUGCAAUCCCCGAGCUUAACUUGGGAACUGCAUCUCAGACUGGGAGGCUGGAGUGCUGGAGAGGGUGGUAGAAUUCCACGUGUAGCGGUGAAAUGCGUAGAGAUGUGGAGGAAUACCAGUGGCGAAGGCGGCCACCUGGACAGUAACUGACGCUGAGGCGCGAAAGUGUGGGUAGCAAACAGGAUUAGAUACCCUGGUAGUCCACGCUGUAAACGAUGAACACUUGGUGUGGUGGGAGUUGACCCCUGCCGUGCCGUAGCUAACGCGAUAAGUGUUCCGCCUGGGGAGUACGGUCGCAAGGCUGAA